rnacentral:rRNA from 1 species
CCUACGGGAGGCUGCAGUGGGGAAUAUUGGACAAUGGGGGGAACCCUGAUCCAGCCAUGCCGCGUGUGUGAAGAAGGCCCUCGGGUUGUAAAGCACUUUCAGUGAGGAAGAACGCCUGGUGGUUAAUACCCAUCAGGAAAGACAUCACUCACAGAAGAAGCACCGUCUAACUCCGUGCCAGCAGCCGCGGUAAUACGGAGGGUGCGAGCGUUAAUCGGAAUUACUGGGCGUAAAGCGCGCGUAGGUGGCUUGAUAAGCCGGUUGUGAAAGCCCCGGGCUCAACCUGGGAACGGCAUCCGGAACUGUCAAGCUAGAGUGCAGGAGAGGAAGGUAGAAUUCCCGGUGUAGCGGUGAAAUGCGUAGAGAUCGGGAGGAAUACCAGUGGCGAAGGCGGCCUUCUGGACUGACACUGACACUGAGGUGCGAAAGCGUGGGUAGCAAACAGGAUUAGAUACCCUUGUAGUC